GAUGAACGCUGACAGAAUGCUUAACACAUGCAAGUCGAUGGGGAAGUGGUGCUUGCACCAUGGCAACCAUGGCGGACGGGUGAGUAACGCGUAAGGGACUUACCUGCAGGACUGGGAUAACAGGGGGAAACUCCUGACAAGACCGGAUAAUGUCAUGGAGCUGCAUGGCUUUAUGAUGAAAGGAGACGCCUGCGGAGAGCCUUGCGUCCUAUUAGCUAGUUGGUGAGGUAAUGGCUCACCAAGGCGAAGAUAGGUAGCCGGCCUGAGAGGGUGGACGGCCACAAGGGGACUGAGAUACGGCCCUUACUCCUACGGAAGGCAGCAGUGGGGAAUAUUGGACAAUGGGGGCAACCCUGAUCCAGCAAUUCUGUGUGCACGAAGAAGGUUUUCGGAUUGUAAAGUGCUUUCAGCAGGGAAGAAGUAAGUGACGGUACCUGCAGAAGAAGCGACGGCUAAAUACGUG
rnacentral:rRNA from 1 species